AUGAAGAGCUCCAAGACGACGGAGACCUUGAAAGCGGUCGAUCUGGGACUGGGAUCCAUGGACGCAAGUGAGGAGGAGGAAUCCGACUCAAGUGAGGAGGAGGAAGUCGACGGAGGUGAGCACUGGAUGGACAGCGACAGCGAGAAGGAGGCCAUACAGUGGCCCCCGACUCCUCCUGCAUAUGGCUAUCCCGACGACGGCCAGCGGCAGCCCUUCGUCCUCAUCGACCAAUUCGCCUACCUUGCCGACCGCGACAACGCCACCACCGCCACCACCACCGCCGAGUUCCCUGCAAUGGGCUCCAUACUCAAGGGCCCCAUCAAGGUCACCUUCUGCCCCGUCGCUCCCCCGCUCGUCUCUUACCUGUGUUUCCACGCCACCGACAUGGACCACACCAUGUUCCCCGUCCAGCCCAAAAUCUUGACCACAGAGACCGACGGCGGCCUCCUUGUCCUAAGGGCCGUCGUCGGUACCCAUCCUUCCGAUUCCGUUUUGCUCAGCAAACGAGAAUACUUCGUCUACGACGCCCGCGCCGCCAAGCUCCACCACCUCCCCCACCCCGGCCGCCAACACGAAUUCGACGAGUACACACUUGCCAUCGUGCGCAACUGCAGCCAACACUGCAAACGCACCACCACCACCCACCACGACAGCGGUGGCUUAGCCCUCCGCCCCUGCCACGCCGCCCUACGCCACCAUGGCCAUGGCCUUGGCCUUGGCCGCCAUGGCCAUGGCCAGGAGCACCACCAUGACUGCACCUACGUCGUUGCCGCACAAGCUCUUGAGUUCGGAGAUCCCGAAACUUCUCACCUCUGCUUGUACCACUCUGAUACCAAGACCUGGAGCAAGAAGCCGGUGGUGGUCAACUCAUAUCCACCCCUCCACGAAACAUCCAAGACGCUCAACAUAGGAGGAGACAGAGGCACCGUGGCCUGGGUCGAUCUAUGGCGGGGCAUCAUCUUCUGCGACGUCCUCGACGAACAACCCAAGCUCCGCUGCCUGGAGCUGCCCAAGCCCAUCAUGCCCAUAAAGGAAAUUGGUUGUGGGGAUCCAAGGUCUGUUCGGGACAUUGCCGUCGUUGGUAACUUCAUCAAGUUUGUCGACAUGCAUGUUCACUUCGACAGCUACCAUAAAACCUCCCAUCACUGGAAGGCCGUCACAUGGAGCGUCAGGACCAGCAGCUUCUCCCCUACAGAUUGGGUCAUGGGUCACCGCAUUAAAUCAACCCGUCUACGCCCUCAAUCAGCGCUGGAUAAGCUGAUGGUCGAUGCUGGCAAUGGCAUCAAGGCUCCCCUCCCAACCUUGUCGACUCUCCAUGUUGGCCUGCCCAGCCUCAGCCUGCAGGAUGAUGACAUUGUUUACUUCCUCGCCAAGAUUGACUACCGCCAGAGCCGCCACACAGCAUGGGUGCUUGCUCUUGACAUGAGGAACAAGACUGUUAAGGAAGUGGACCUGUUUGACGCCAAGAGGACUCUUGGUUUAGGCAGGGGCUACGAGGCAAGCAGGAUCUCCGCGUAUCUCAAACCUGCUCUAGAUCCAAUGAGAAUACCGAAACGAUCAGAGAUGCCGUUGCUGAAAGCCCCUAGCAAGAAGCGUGCUGGAGAUGACGCCAUCUGUUCUCUCAGUGACGCCAAACCUCCAUUUAGGGUGGGAAGGCAGGUGCAUGAGCUAUGCAGGAAGGAGGACACAAUACUAAAUGGUUACUCAGGACUAGGGUUAGCCGCGCUCCCCCAGCCACCGCCGCUGCCGCCGGCCGCCCCCUCCCGCCUCCGUCGGCCGCCGCAGCGCUCUCCCCGCCUCCCUCUCCCCCUCCCCCUUCCCCUCCCCCACGCACCUGUCCGCCCGCUCGCCCCCCUGCGGGCGACGGGCGGCCCCCUGCCCCUUCUCCUUCGGCCUCCUCCCCCCUGCCGCCGGCCGAAGCCGCCGGGCCCUGCCCGCGCGGCGCUGGCGGCGGCGGGCCGUCCCUUCCCCGCUCGCUCUUGGGGGGCGCAGGGGCCUCCCGAUGGCGGCGGUGCUGCUCGGCCUCUGCGGUGGGGUUCGGCGGCGGGAGUCCGGCGCGCUCCUGGCGGUGGUCUGCGGGCGGUGGCGGCUUCAUCGGCCGAUGAGCUGCAGCGUGACGGCAGGGGCUGUCCGGACCCUGUUGGGUUCGGCCGGGCCUCGGUGCCUGGUAGGUCCCUUGUCCGUGCGUCCGGUCGGCUCCGCGGUGGCGGUGGUGGUUGUCCCCUCACGUCGGUGAUGUCGCGGAUGCCCCCAAGGACACUCUCCCUUCUCCCAUCCUCCAGGUCUCGUGUCGGUGACCUUAGGGAGACGGCGGAGUUGAUCCGAAAUCUCUGGCGGCUUGUCCGGCCCCGACGCGGCGACGCCUGUGGGUGCCGUCGGACCUUCCUGAAGGGCGUCGGGUACACCCCUCCCCUCACUGCCCUCCUGCGUACCGGGGGAAACCCUAGGACUAGUCCGGGCAGCAGCGGCGUCAUCGUCGCCUCCUUCUUGAAGGUGUUGCUUGGUACGCGGCGCUUCGGGUGCUGGGAACAUGGUGGUACUUCUUCGGAGGGUGCAGCUGUCGCCGGUCAUCUUCGUUUCGUCGAUCUGCCGUUAAUAUGA
rnacentral:rRNA from 1 species